rnacentral:rRNA from 1 species
UGCCUACGGGGGGCAGCAGUCGGGAAUUUUGGGCAAUGGGCGAAAGCCUGACCCAGCAACGCCGCGUGAAGGAUGAAGUAUUUCGGUAUGUAAACUUCGUAAGAAUAGGAAGAAUUAAUGACGGUACUAUUUGUAAGGUCCGGCUAACUACGUGCCAGCAGCCGCGGUAAUACGUAGGGACCAAGCGUUGUUCGGAUUUACUGGGCGUAAAGGGCGCGUAGGCGGCGUGACAAGUCACUUGUGAAAUCUCCGGGCUUAACUCGGAACGGCCAAGUGAUACUGUUGUGCUAGAGUGCAGAAGGGGCAAUCGGAAUUCUUGGUGUAGCGGUGAAAUGCGUAGAUAUCAAGAGGAACACCUGAGGUGAAGACGGGUUGCUGGGCUGACACUGACGCUGAGGCGCGAAAGCCAGGGGAGCAAACGGGAUUAGAUACCCCAGUAGUCG